GACGAACGCUGGCGGCGUGCUUAACACAUGCAAGUCGAACGGAAAGGCCCUGCUUUUGUGGGGUGCUCGAGUGGCGAACGGGUGAGUAACACGUGAGUAACCUGCCCUUGACUUUGGGAUAACUUCAGGAAACUGGGGCUAAUACCGGAUCGGAGCUCCUGCUGCAUGGUGGGGGUUGGAAAGUUUCGGCGGUUGGGGAUGGACUCGCGGCUUAUCAGCUUGUUGGUGGGGUAGUGGCUUACCAAGGCUUUGACGGGUAGCCGGCCUGAGAGGGUGACCGGCCACAUUGGGACUGAGAUACGGCCCAGACUCCUACGGGAGGCAGAAGUGGGGAAUAUUGCACAAUGGGCGGAAGCCUGAGGCAGCAACGCCGCGUGCGGGAUGACGGCCUUCGGGUUGUAAACCGCUUUCGCCUGUGACGAAGCGUGAGUGACGGUAAUGGGUAAAGAAGCACCGGCUAACUACGUG
rnacentral:rRNA from 1 species